UGCGCCUGCGAAGGAGGCAGCCUUGUCGGUGAAAGGAAGGUUUUGCAGGCAACCUGACAAGGUACCCUCUCGUGAACAGCAAUUUUGCUGAUUCAAAAUCUUUC
rnacentral:sRNA from 1 species